rnacentral:rRNA from 1 species
AGCGGCGGACGGGUGAGUAACGCGUGGGUAACCUGCCCUGUACACACGGAUAACAUACCGAAAGGUAUGCUAAUACGAGAUAAUAUGCUUUUGUCGCAUGGUAGAAGUAUCAAAGUUUUUGCGGUACAGGAUGGACCCGCGUCUGAUUAGCUAGUUGGUAAGGUAACGGCUUACCAAGGCGACGAUCAGUAGCCGACCUGAGAGGGUGAUCGGCCACAUUGGAACUGAGACACGGUCCAAACUCCUACGGGAGGCAGCAGUGGGGAAUAUUGCACAAUGGGCGAAAGCCUGAUGCAGCAACGCCGCGUGAGCGAUGAAGGCCUUCGGGUCGUAAAGCUCUGUCCUCAAGGAAGAUAAUGACGGUACUUGAGGAGGAAGCCCCGGCUAACUACGUGCCAGCAGCCGCGGUAAUACGUAGGGGGCUAGCGUUAUCCGGAAUUACUGGGCGUAAAGGGUGCGUAGGUGGUUUCUUAAGUCAGAGGUGAAAGGCUACGGCUCAACCGUAGUAAGCCUUUGAAACUGGGAAACUUGAGUGCAGGAGAGGAGAGUGGAAUUCCUAGUGUAGCGGUGAAAUGCGUAGAUAUUAGGAGGAACACCAGUUGCGAAGGCGGCUCUCUGGACUGUAACUGACACUGAGGCACGAAAGCGUGGGGAGCAAACAGGAUUAGAUACCCUGGUAGUCCACGCCGUAAACGAUGAGUACUAGCUGU